rnacentral:rRNA from 1 species
CCAGACUCCUACGGGAGGCAGCAGUGGGGAAUAUUGCACAAUGGGGGAAACCCUGAUGCAGCGACGCCGCGUGAAGGAUGAAGUAUUUCGGUAUGUAAACUUCUACCAGCAGGGAAGAAAAUGACGGUACCUGACUAAGAAGCCCCGGCUAACUACGUGCCAGCAGCCGCGGUAAUACGUAGGGGGCAAGCGUUAUCCGGAUUUACUGGGUGUAAAGGGAGCGUAGACGGCAUGGCAAGUCUGAUGUGAAAACCCGGGGCUCAACCCCGGGACUGCAUUGGAAGCUGUCAGGCCGGAGUGUCGGAGAGGCAAGUGGAAUUCCUAGUGUAGCGGUGAAAUGCGUAGAUAUUAGGAGGAACACCAGUGGCGAAGGCGGCUUGCUGGACGAUGACUGACGUUGAGGCUCGAAAGCGUGGGGAGCAAACAGGAUUAGAUACCCGAGUAC